UUAUGGUCAAGCUACUAAGGGUGUAUGGCGGAUGCCUUGGCGCCAGGAGGCGAUGAAGGACGUGGCAGGAUGCGAUAAGCCUCGGGGAGCUACCAAGCAAGCGAAGAUCCGGGGAUUUCCGAAUGGGGUAACCCUACGGUGGAAAACCGCCGUAAUUGCAUGCUGAAUAAAAUAGGCAUGCAAGGCCAACGGGGUGAAGUGAAACAUCUCAGUAGCCCUAGGAAGAGAAAGCGAAUGCGAUUUCCUCAGUAGCGGCGAGCGAAAGGGAAAUAGCCUAAACCCGGCGGGUGUAAGCCUGCAGGCGUUGUCCGUCGGGGGUCGUGGGACCGCGGUCUCGACCUGCAGGUCGGGAGGAGAGUUACAAAAUUCGACUUUAGCAGAAUCGUGCUGGAAAGCCGAGCCACAGAGGGUGAUAGCCCCGUAAGCGAAAGGGUUCGAAUCUCUCUGAGCGGUAUCCCAAGUAGCGCGGUGCUCGUGGAACUCCGCGUGAAUCUGUGCAGUCCACUGCAUAAGGCUAAAUACUAGCUGGCGACCGAUAGUGGAC
rnacentral:rRNA from 1 species